rnacentral:rRNA from 1 species
UCCGUAGGUGAACCUGCGGAAGGAUCAUUACCGAGUGCGGGCCCUCGCGGCCCAACCUCCCACCCUUGUCUCUAUACACCUGUUGCUUUGGCGGGCCCACCGGGGCCACCCGGUCGCCGGGGGACGCACGUCUCCGGGCCCGCGCCCGCCGAAGCGCUCUGUGAACCCUGAUGAAGAUGGGCUGUCUGAGUACUGUGAAAAUUGUCAAAACUUUCAACAAUGGAUCUCUUGGUUCCGGCAUCGAUGAAGAACGCAGCGAAAUGCGAUAAGUAAUGUGAAUUGCAGAAUUCCGUGAAUCAUCGAAUCUUUGAACGCACAUUGCGCCCCCUGGCAUUCCGGGGGGCAUGCCUGUCCGAGCGUCAUUUCUGCCCUCAAGCACGGCUUGUGUGUUGGGUGUGGUCCCCCCGGGGACCUGCCCGAAAGGCAGCGGCGACGUCCGUCUGGUCCUCGAGCGUAUGGGGCUCUGUCACUCGCUCGGGAAGGACCUGCGGGGGUUGGUCACCACCAUGUUUUACCACGGUUGACCUCGGAUCAGGUAGGAGUUACCCGCUGAACUUAAGCAUAUCAAUAAGCGGAGGA